AUACGUAGGGGGUUAGCGUUGUCCGGAUUUACUGGGUGUAAAGGGCGCGUAGGCGGGCCUGUAAGUCAGAGGUGAAAUACCACAGCUUAACUGUAGAGCUGCCUCUGAUACUGGGGGGCUUGAGUGCAGAAGAGGGAGAUGGAAUUCCAGGUGUAGUGGUGAAAUACGUAGAUAUCUGGAAGAACACCAGUGGCGAAGGCGACUUCCUGGUCUGACACUGACGCUGAGGCGCGAAAGCGUGGGUAGCAAACAGGAUUAGAUACCCUGGUAGUCCACGAUGUAAACGAUGAAUACUAGAUGUUGGGCAGAAAUGUUCAGUGUCGCAGCUAACGCAUUAAGUAUUCCACCUGGGGAGUACGAUCGCAAGGUUGA
rnacentral:rRNA from 1 species